UAUUAAUAUGAAUUUUUUCUGUGUUGGUGUAGUGUACUCAGGUGAAUAUGAUAUUUGUGGUGUUACUCUGAGUGUAUAUCCACACCGGGCGAGCUUGAAAAAUAUGCCCGGCCACGGUGGGAUUCGAACCUACGACCUUUGGAAUACUAGCCCAAUGCUCUUCCAACUGAGCUACGCGGUCAGGACGGUUCGAGUAAGUGAUAUUUCGGAACAGUAUCUAGUUCCUUCAAUACCAAUGUGUUCUAGUAAUAUGAAUUUUUUUCUGUGUUGGUGUGUUGUGUACUCAGGUGAAUAAUAUGUUUGCGAUGUUACUCUGAGUGCAUAUCCACACCGGGCGAGCUUGAAAAAUAUGCCCGGCCACGGUGGGAUUCGAACCUACGACCUUUGGAAUACUAGCUCAAUGCUCUUCCAACUGAGCUACGCGGUCAGGACGGUUCGAGUAAGUGAUAUUUCGG
rnacentral:tRNA from 1 species